CCUAUUUACGGGCUCAAGUCAGUAGCGAGUGUUACUAAGUAGAAGGCACUCUAAACGAUGCUCAUAUGAAAAGUAGCUCAAGGACAAGUUAAAUAAAAACCUGACGUUCCUUCUGAAGACGGUUAAAAACCAGGCUGAAAUUCAAGACAGUGUGAAGUUUAAAUAAUAAAAUGCUUUUAAAAGUGCCCUACGAGAAAUCGAUCAGACAAGGAUGGUGGUAGAAUGGUGAAAAUUGAAAUAAAUGAAGAAUCGCUAUUUAUGCUGCAGCUCCAGAGGGUGUAGCCAGGAGAUAGACAUUUGUCAACCUGUGAGCAGUACAUCGUGGGAAGGUUUCACAGCUACCGUGUAGAUGUGGCCCAGCAGUAGCCCCUCCACUCCCCCACGUGAAUGGUGCACACCGUGGUGCGUUCACAGGCUGUGUACCUCUGACACGAAAAGACUGAGGAGGCAGUGGUGGCACUGAGGGUGACGUCCCAUUUCCGGCAACCCCCCCCAUCCCCAGCAGCUGUGCACUCUCGUGCUAAAAGGCACCGCUCGCGAGCCCACUAAAGGGUUCCUCUUCCUCAUGUAACACCCCCACCCCACUCCCCACUUCUCUCAUGGACACAGUGCAUCCUGCACAGGAUCCUCCACAGUUCAUACCACAGAGAUUCAGCUUCGAACAGCAGUCGUGCUUUAACCACAUACAGGCUUUAGUCACAUGUCACCGUUUUGUCGUUGCGUUGCGUGUUUAUAUGUCCGACCGUGCGUUGGGCGAGCAUGUUGGUGAUGUUCUGGGGUCUUCAACUGAAGGUUGCAUUCCGGAAAUUAUUCUUUGGUCAGUGAAAAUAUCACGGUUUCACCCUAAGUAUGUGUGCACUAUGCAUGUAUUUAUGCAGAACUGGAGUCUAGCAUCUUUGUGGUAUAUUUGUAGUGUCUGGUCUUACUGCAUAAUUAGAUGCCGUUCUCAAAUAAAACUCUUCAGAGCAGACAACAGUUUAGACCAACUUAUGCUUGACCAAUAAAAUAGAGUUUGUAGUUUGAAAAGUCUGCUUUAUAAUAAUGUGCAUAUGAUGUGAAUUUUGCAACUUUGUGUUUAUUGGGUUUUUAAUACUUAAGAAUACUUUUACAGUGAUUUCAGUAUUAUUGUUGUAUGAUAUCAGGACAAAAAAGGAGUAUAGGAGCGUUUGGUGGCUGAUCCCCCUUCAGCAACUGCAUUUUCCUUCCAUGCAAAGUAUCACAAUGUAGUGCCAUCUACUGGAAUUCUUAAUGCACUACGGGUGAAGCAUCCAGCUAGCGUCCUGAAAUUGUAAUAGAUCUUUUCAGUGUUCCCUAUACAGGUAUCAUUAAUUAGGAUUCCAAUAGUAAGCUUUGGGCAAACAAAAUAUCUAAUUCACAAUAAUUUAGCGGACUAAA